UACGUAGGGUGCAAGCGUUAAUCGGAAUUACUGGGCGUAAGCGUGCGCAGGCGGCGCCGCAAGUCAGGCGUGAAAUCCCCGAGCUCAACUUGGGAAUUGCGCUUGAAACUACGGUGCUGGAGUAUGGCAGAGGGAGGUGGAAUUCAUGGUGUAGCAGUGAAAUGCGUAGAGAUCAUGAGGAAGACCAGUGGCGAAGGCGGGUCUCUGGACAGUUCCUGACGCUGAGGCACGAAGGCCAGGGGAGCAAACGGG
rnacentral:rRNA from 1 species